UACAGAGGUCUCAAGCGUUGUUCGGAUUCAUUGGGCGUAAAGGGUGCGUAGGCGGCGCGGUAAGUCGGGUGUGAAAUCUCGGAGCUUAACUUCGAAACUGCAUUCGAUACUGCCGUGCUUGAGGACUGGAGAGGAGACUGGAAUUUACGGUGUAGCGGUGAAAUGCGUAGAUAUCGGAAGAAACACCAGUGGCGAAAGCGGCUUCCUGGUCCAGCACCGACGUCAGGCACGAAAGCGUGGGGAGCAAACAGGG
rnacentral:rRNA from 1 species